rnacentral:rRNA from 1 species
UGGGGAAUUUUGGACAAUGGGCGCAAGCCUGAUCCAGCCAUGCCGCGUGCGGGAAGAAGGCCUUCGGGUUGUAAACCGCUUUUGUCAGGGAAGAAAUCUUCUGAGUUAAUACCUCGGGAGGAUGACGGUACCUGAAGAAUAAGCACCGGCUAACUACGUGCCAGCAGCCGCGGUAAUACGUAGGGUGCAAGCGUUAAUCGGAAUUACUGGGCGUAAAGCGUGCGCAGGCGGUUUUGUAAGACAGAGGUGAAAUCCCCGGGCUCAACCUGGGAACUGCCUUUGUGACUGCAAGGCUUGAGUGCGCCAGAGGGGGAUGGAAUUCCGCGUGUAGCAGUGAAAUGCGUAGAUAUGCGGAGGAACACC